AGAGUUUGAUCCUGGCUCAGAACGAACGCUGGCGGCGUGCCUAACACAUGCAAGUCGAACGGAGAUAAGGGGCUUGCUCCUUAUUUUAGUGGCGCACGGGUGAGUAACGCGUGGAUAAUCUACCUUGGAAUCUGGGAUAACAUUUCGAAAGGGGUGCUAAUACCGGAUAAGACCACGAGCUCUUUGGAGUUUGCGGUAAAAGGGGGCCUCUGUAUAUGCUUCUGUUUCAAGAUGAGUCCGCGUACCAUUAGCUAGUUGGCAGGGUAACGGCCUACCAAGGCAACGAUGGUUAGCUGGUCUGAGAGGAUGAUCAGCCACACUGGAACUGAGACACGGUCCAGACUCCUACGGGAGGCAGCAGUGGGGAAUUUUGCGCAAUGGGGGAAACCCUGACGCAGCAACGCCGCGUGAGUGAUGAAGGCCUUCGGGUCGUAAAGCUCUGUCAGAGGGAAAGAAGUGUAUUUUGGUUAAUACCCGAGAUACUUGACGGUACCCUCAAAGGAAGCAC
rnacentral:rRNA from 1 species